rnacentral:lncRNA from 1 species
CAUCCUUCCCUUUGUCCCGACUCCGACGCAUGCGCCAACAUCGGUGACGUCAGCGGCCUCGGACCUUCCAAAGGCUAUAAGAAGCUGCGUACCUCCGUCGAACUUCAGUGGGCCAGGCAGCGGCACUCCGGGCGAAAUGCUCACCAAACCAUUCGUCUUUGUGGUGCAGGUUAGUUCCUACUUGCCUGCGCCAUGUUACCGCAGUGAUAACCGCUUUUUAGUGUUGCUGCCACGCCCACUUGGUAGCUUUUUCUCAUGUAUUUGUAUUUUUGGUGUGGAUUUGUUAGUUUGCGGGGAUAUUGAGGCAAACCCUGGCCCUUCGGAUAAAGAAAUACUGCAGCAGCUUCUUUCAG